GAAGAUAGCAGCAAUGCCAAGUCUUUUGGCAUUUACUCUUUGGCACAACUUUUAUGAUAUUAAAAGUCUUAAUAAAAUCACCAGAAGUAUGAAGCUAAAUGUUGGCUAUAAACGAACUACAUCAUCAAGGUCACAUGACUUCAAUGUCAUCAUCAUUACACUUCCGACAGCUCUUUCAGCCUUUAUUUUAAAAGAAAAGAGUGUGAUUAUGAACACAACGAGGCUGUGAAAGCAAUCAUCUCUGAAUCACGAGUCCCAGAACCGAAGUGUGAUCGGACCCCCAGCGAGACCAAAACACAUGUGGUUAUCUGAAAAUCUCUCAUCUUCUGCAAGCCUGGUCCACGGUCAGAGCGGACACAGCAGAGAAUACAC